rnacentral:rRNA from 1 species
CAGCCGCCGCGGUAACGCGAGGGGUGCAAGCGUUAUUCGGAUUGAUUGGGUGUAAAGGGUGUGCAGACGGCUUAUUAAGUCACUUGUUAAAUUCUUCGGCCUAACUGAAGGUCUGCAAGUGAUACUGAUGAGCUAGAGGGUGGAAGAGAGAAGUGGAAUUCUCGGAGUAGCGGUAAAAUGCGUAGAUCUCGAGAGGAACACCAAUGGCGAAGGCAGCUUCUUGGUCCAUUCCUGUCGUUCAUACACGAAAGCGUGGGGAGCAAACAGGAUUAGAUACCCCCGUAGUCCCUGUCUCUUAUAU